rnacentral:rRNA from 1 species
CCUACGGGAGGCAGCAGUGGGGAAUAUUGGGCAAUGGGCGCAAGCCUGACCCAGCAACGCCGCGUGAAGGAAGAAGGCUUUCGGGUUGUAAACUUCUUUUCUGGGGGACGAACAAAUGACGGUACCCCAGGAAUAAGCCACGGCUAACUACGUGACAGCAGCCGCGGUAAUACGUAGGUGGCAAGCGUUAUCCGGAUGUAUUGGGUGUAAAGGGCGUGUAGGCGGGAAUGCAAGUCAGAUGUGAAAACUAUGGGCUCAACCCAUAGCCUGCAUUUGAAACUGUAUUUCUUGAGUGGUGGAGAGGCAGGCGGAAUGCCUGGUGUAGCGGUGAAAUGCGUAGAUAUUAGGAGGAACACCAGUGGCGAAGGCGGCCUGCUGGGCUUUUACUGACGCUGAGGCUCGAAAGUGUGGGGAGCAAACAGGAUUAGAUACCCUUGUAGUC